rnacentral:rRNA from 1 species
UAGUACCGGGAACCGUUCACGGGUAAACCUGAGAAACCCGAAAGUUCGAAUGAGAAGAUUCAGUAUCUUACCAUUUGGUCGACCAUUACAUUAUUAUGUGAUAAUUUUUAAUAUCUUGUAUAUUAAUAUUACACUAAUUUGUUUUGAGAUUUGGCUAUGGAGAUAUGCACUUCUUCUCUAGUAGGACGUUGCAACCCAUUGGAUGUUAAUCUAAGGUCCCUUAUGGUAGCCUAUUUUAUAUAUAUUUCGGUAUAUGUGAUUUAGACCUUAGGUGUUUUGCCUGAUUAACUUGUUCGAUGGUAUGUCUUAAUAAUAUGGGGUCGCCUAUAUGGCAUUUAACUUUUUUUCAAGUGUGUAUGGAUUAAAUUUUGGCUAUCAGACCUAGUCUGGUACCGAAACCAUUACCACUGUUUGAAAAUUAUGUUGUAAUUAAAUUGACCACCUUUUAUAUAGGUUAGCAACGCUUUUGCUUUGGGUACUUUCAGGACCCGUCUUGAACCGG